CGCACGCUUGUUUACACACACCAUUUCAAGGACUACUACCGACUAAAUCUGCAAAACCCGCCUCACCCUGUUAACUCAGGUUGGAGUGCAGUGGAGCAACCAUGGCUCAUUGCAGCUUCCACCUCCCAGGGUGAAGUGGUCCUCCCACCUCAGCUUCCCAAGUAGCUGGGACUACAGAAAGAGAAGACAAAUGGAGAACUUCCUCAAUGAGAUGAAGAAAAAUAACAAAAUGCACACCAAAAAGCAUACGAUAUCCUGUUAUCUCAAUUAUUUAAAAAUACAUUGACACAUUCUUUGUAAAUAUGAGGCUAUUUAAAAAAUGUAACAUGCAAAUUUCUAUGUGUUAACCUUUGUAUAAAACCCAUGAUAAGAUGCUUAUUAUUCAAGAGAAAGUAUUAUGAUUGUAUAACCCAGUAAAUCCAUCUUUUUUUCACUCCAAGCUAUUCUUUGUCCCUAAUGUUGUUUUAUUUUAAUGAGUUGCAUCUCCUUCCAUGACAGUACUCAGCCAACUCCGUCUCUUUACCUACCUUUAAGUCAGGAGUACAAGUGGAAGGGCUCCAGUGAAUUUUCUCAGUAAUAACAACUAAUGGCUAACAUUUCAAAGAAAUUUCAAUAUUGAUUGAAACAUUUUAAAGGCUAUCAAUUAUAGAACACAAGAUGAAAGCCAAUAAAAAUUAUUAAAGCUUUACUAUGUAUUUGCUU
rnacentral:lncRNA from 13 species